CCUACGGGUGGCAGCAGUGAGGAAUAUUGCACAAUGGGCGAAAGCCUGAUGGAGCAACGCCGCGUGAGUGAUGAAGGCCUUCGGGUCGUAAAGCUCUGUCCUCAAGGAAGAGAAUGACGGUACUUGAGGAGGAAGCCCCGGCGAACUACGUGCCAGCAGCCGCGGUCAUACGUCGGGGGCUAGCGUUAUCCGGAAUUACGGGGCGAAAGGGGGGCGUAGGUGGUUUCUUAAGUCAGGGGUGAAAGGCUACGGCUCAACCGUAGGAAGCCUUUGAAACUGGGGAACUUGAGUGCAGGAGAGGAGAGUGGAAUUCCUAGUGUAGCGGUGAAAUGCGUAGAUAUUAGGAGGAACACCAGUUGCGAAGGCGGCUCUCUGGACUGUAACUGACACUGAGGCACGAAAGCGUGGGGAGCAAACAGGAUUAGAUACCCCUGUAGUC
rnacentral:rRNA from 1 species